AUUGAACGCUGGCGGCAUGCCUUACACAUGCAAGUCGAACGGUAGAGGAGCAAUCCUCGAGAGUGGCGAACGGGUGAGUAAUGCAUCGGAACGUGCCCAGUAAUGGGGGAUAGCCCGGCGAAAGCCGGAUUAAUACCGCAUACGACCUGAGGGUGAAAGAGGGGGAUCGCAAGACCUCUCGUUAUUGGAGCGGCCGAUGUCAGAUUAGGUAGUUGGUGGGGUAAAGGCCUACCAAGCCAACGAUCUGUAGCUGGUCUGAGAGGACGACCAGCCACACUGGGACUGGGACACGGCGCGGAAUCCUACGGGAGGCAGCAGUGGGGAAUUUUGGACAAUGGGCGAAAGCCUGAUCCAGCCAUGCCGCGUGCGGGAAGAAGGCCUUCGGGUUGUAAACCGCUUUUGUCAGGGAAGAAAUCUUCUGUGUUAAUACCUCGGGAGGAUGACGGUACCUGAAGAAUAAGCACCGGCUAACUACGUGCCAGCCGCCGCAGUAA
rnacentral:rRNA from 1 species